rnacentral:lncRNA from 1 species
GACUCCUGUGAUCUGGCGCCCAAGAACACAUUGUAAAAGCUCAUCAGCUUUCCAUGUCCUGGAAACCAACUCUUCUGUCUGAAGCAGGGGACUAAGACUGCACUCCAGAAAUACAAAUUCUAGAUAAGAAUUUCAAGAACAUGCAAGCAGAGAUCGCCAGUCCAGAUUCAGAAAGGCUCCACCAGGCACUGCAGGACCUAAAAGACAUUUUUACAAGUGGAUAUUUUCCUACAACCCUAGAUCCUAAGCAGAACCGAGUGGUUUAACUCAACACCUGAGAAAUCCUGCAUGAAAAGAAGGUCUUCAUUAAAAUUUCAACACCCUUGCUGCUUCAGUUGAGAGCUGGGAGAGCUCCCACUAUGCAUGUAAUUGUUUUUCCAUAGUAAAACACACUUUGCUGAAGGAUAAUUGAUAUGAGGCUUAAAAUUCUAGCACCGACAUACAAAGAAAAGUUAUUAACUUCUCUAAGUAUUUGUAUGGGCCCCUGAUUUUGUCCUCUGGAGUCCCAUCAUGUUCUUCAGGGGUGGGCUAGUAAAUUGUCUUCUUGGCUGCCUCAUUGGCCAAGUUCACCCACACAUGUCUCAUGUUCCAAGGAGUCUGAUCCCAUAGGUCUGUGUAACGUAACCAGCUUCUCCCCUGAAAAUGUGCAAUGAGAACAUAACACCAUUUUCUUUCUGAUCUUAGAUCAUAGGCACAGGCAAUUGACUGGCCUCUGAACUGAUAGAGAAGAGUAAUCAGGAAUACAG